CGGACGGGUGAGGAAUACAUCGGAAUCUACUCUGUCGUGGGGGAUAACGUAGGGAAACUUACGCUAAUACCGCAUACGACCUACGGGUGAAAGCAGGGGAUCUUCGGACCUUGCGCUAUCAGAUGAGCCUAGGUCGGAUUAGCUAGUUGGUGAGGUAAUGGCUCACCAAGGCGACGAUCCGUAACUGGUCUGAGAGGAUGAUCAGUCACACUGGAACUGAGACACGGUCCAGACUCCUACGGGAGGCAGCAGAC
rnacentral:rRNA from 1 species